rnacentral:rRNA from 1 species
UGCGUAGGUGGUUUCGUGUGUCGGAUGUGAAAGCCCAUGGCUCAACCCGUGGAAUGGCAUCCGAAACUGCGGAACUAGAGUCCAGGAGGGGAGAGCGGAAUUCUUGGUGUAGCGGUGAAAUGCGUUGAUAUCAAGAAGAACACCGGUGGCGAAGGCGGCUCUCUGGAAUGGUACUGACACUGAGGCACGAAAGCUGGGGAGCAAACA